GAUGAACGCUGGCGGCGUGCUUAACACAUGCAAGUCGAACGGAAAGGCCCAAGCUUGCUUGGGUACUCGAGUGGCGAACGGGUGAGUAACACGUGGGUGAUCUGCCCUGCACUUCGGGAUAAGCCUGGGAAACUGGGUCUAAUACCGGAUAGGACGAUGGUUUGGAUGCCAUUGUGGAAAGUUUUUUCGGUGUGGGAUGAGCUCGCGGCCUAUCAGCUUGUUGGUGGGGUAAUGGCCUACCCAGGCGUCGUCGGGUAGCCGGCCUGAGAGGGUGUACGGCCACAUUGGGACUGAGAUACGGCCCAGACUCCUACGGGAGGCAGCAGUGGGGAAUAUUGCACAAUGGGCGCAAGCCUGAUGCAGCGACGCCGCGUGGGGGAUGACGGCCUUCGGGUUGUAAACUCCUUUCGCUAGGGACGAAGCGUUUUGUGACGGUACCUGGAGAAGAAGCACCGGCUAACUACGUG
rnacentral:rRNA from 1 species